UCAAAAAUAAGCAAGCAAACUAUUUUAUUUUUUAUUUAAAUAUAUAUUUAUAAAAAAUAAUGAAAAAUAGCCUCUUCCCAUAUGCUGUGUUCUCGAACAUUCUAGGGGGAAAGCUAGAUGACAACUCAAACAACCAAUCAUGAUCAUGAAGUAUGUGCCCGUCCCGCCUACUUACAACUCAAACGACUAAUCGCGUUAAUGAAGUAUCCAACGUCUUUAAAGUGCUGCAAAUUCAUAAGGAAAACGUUUGUGACGUUGUCAUGAGGUCAAUAUAAGGGCCACUCAUGUAAAUAUAUGACAACGUUAAUGUGGUAAGGUGUAUCAUAAAUGAUACAUGGUCAUAAGUGUAUGAAUACCCAAACAUUACACCCAUAUGUGAUUUGUUUACCAUCUGUUCAUAAAGUGUCUCAUAUUUGGCAUACAUCACAGCUUAAUAAGGUUGAUAACAACAAUGGAUAAUGUAUUUAAAAAAAACUAAACUCUUUGUAUAAAAUUAUAUUUGUUCCCCUUGAGCGUGCACAUAUAUAUUGUGAUGUGAUUAUGUCUUUCCCUUAUUAAACUUAAGUGACCUAAGCUGUUUGACAUCUCUGUGUUCUUGGCUGGUUGAAUUCUUAAUGCUUUGCUUUUCUUGUGGCCUCUUUUGCGUUAUUGUCCACAUUUGGUAUGUUUACCUCAUGACAACUCACAAACAUUUUCCUCAUGAAUUUGCAGCACUUUGAAGACGUUUUGAAUUUAAACAGCCGACUAUUUGUUUGAGAAAUCAGCAAUAUUGUAACAUCCACAUUCUCCAUGGUAGUCAGCAGUGUGGUCGCAUGUUGAUCUGGUUGCCCUCUGCCUUUCGUUGCGACUGCUAGAGAUGAUCUUGGCCUAGUGAGCAAGCGACGUUUCAACUCGAGUGGACUUUCUCUCAAAAGACUCGACAACGAUUUUUACGGACGUAACACACCAACGGACCCCCGCCGCAUUUUAGAUGCUGACAAAGAAUCAGGUCACGUGCGGCCACAGACGACGAGAUCCUGAAACAUGCCAUUAGCACCGAAAUCCUGGUCCACUCAUUUGUCACAUCCCGCAUCGACUAUUGCAAUGCCCUCCUCACCGGACUCCCCACCAAACUCAUCAACAGACUGCAAAUCAUUCAGAACUCGGCCACCCGGAUCAUCACCUGUACCAAAUCAUCGGACCACAUCACUCCUGUACUCAUCCAACUUCACUGGCUCCCUGUACAAUACCGCAUCGACUACAAAAACCUUCUCCUCACCUAUAAAGCUCUCCACAAUCUAGCCCAUACUUACCUCUACGACCUCCUCCAGGAACCCUCCCACACCCUCCGCUCAUCCUCUUCUGGACUGCUAACCAUCCCCACGUCACGCCUCAGUACCAUGGGUGCCCGAGCCUUCAGCUGCUCAGCACCCAGGCUCUGGAACUCCCUCCCCCCACACAUAAGACAAUCAGACUCCAUCACAUCAUUCAAGUCUCAACUCAAAACUCACCUGUUCAAACUGGCAUACUCUUUAUAACUGGACCCUGUGCACUUCACUUGUUUUUAUGUUGAUGUUCUGUUUUAAUGUUGUUCCUAUCUUUCAUGCUUUUAUCCUGUAUUAUUUUAUUGUAAGGUGACUUGAAAGGCGCUUCCAAAUAAAAUGUAUUAUUAUUAUUAUUAUUAGGUGGUUCAACCUGGCGGCAGACCGGGGUAGCUCCAGGAGGCGUGCUGUAAAUACAAUCGCGGUCUUGUUGAGUUGUAGUGGAUUUUAUAUACACGUGCACAUGUAGAUAAGAGAGGUUAUGUUUUAAAUUAAUACAUAAUGAAAGUUAUGAUUAAUUUGAGGAAUAUUCUGAGGAAUGUAUUAUGACGCAUCAGAGAGGAUCACUGUUUUAUUAUUCUGUUUGUUAAUGACAAAUGUAAUGAUUAAUUGUAUGAUGCAUGAGAAUGAAUGGAUGUUUUAUUGUUUAGACAAUAGUUAAAAGGGAUGCCGAUUGAAACCUGAGAUGUUGCUUUUAUUCUGAAGGCAGGACAAUAGGGUUUUAUUCUGAAGGGGAACUUCCUGUCCUUGACCGGAAGUGUGAGCUUUGACCCCGUUACUUUAUCGAUUUGAGGCAUUCUUUGAAGUGGCGAAUGGAACUAACCCUCAGAUUUUUACGGACGUAACACACCAACGGACCCCCGCCGCAUUUUAGAUGCUGACAAAGAAUCAGGUCACGUGCGGCCACAGACGACGAGAUCCUGAAACAUGCCAUUAGCACCGAAAUCCUGGUCCACUCAUUUGUCACAUCCCGCAUCGACUAUUGCAAUGCCCUCCUCACCGGACUCCCCACCAAACUCAUCAACAGACUGCAAAUCAUUCAGAACUCGGCCACCCGGAUCAUCACCUGUACCAAAUCAUCGGACCACAUCACUCCUGUACUCAUCCAACUUCACUGGCUCCCUGUACAAUACCGCAUCGACUACAAAAACCUUCUCCUCACCUAUAAAGCUCUCCACAAUCUAGCCCAUACUUACCUCUACGACCUCCUCCAGGAACCCUCCCACACCCUCCGCUCAUCCUCUUCUGGACUGCUAACCAUCCCCACGUCACGCCUCAGUACCAUGGGUGCCCGAGCCUUCAGCUGCUCAGCACCCAGGCUCUGGAACUCCCUCCCCCCACACAUAAGACAAUCAGACUCCAUCACAUCAUUCAAGUCUCAACUCAAAACUCACCUGU